rnacentral:lncRNA from 1 species
UGAACAGAAAAAUUAAGAAGAACCUGAAAUUAAUAAAUACCUAGGUAUUUGUCAGCUGUAAUUCCAGCAGAAACUGUGGCCUCUUCUGAGUGUGGCCUUUGAAUUCACCAAGGCUCGGCUAGAUUCACUCUCAGUAACCUAGGAGAAACUGGAACUUUAAAUAACUAAAAGAAACAAAAUCUUCAUUUCAACUCACCUGUGUGCAUGGAAGCCAUUUUUCUCCCGUUAAGCUGACAUUUCUGUGAGUUGACAGGUCUAUCACUCAGAGCCUCAGACACUUCAAAGACUUCUUAGAACUUCAGGAAUGUCUGAAAAUUUUUAAUGUGAAAGUCAGAAUGUCUGGUUUUAUUAAGAAUUGGUCGUAUCAUUUAUGUAAUCAUCCUGGGACUGUUCUACUGCUGAAAACAACAAAAUGUUCAAAUUAUAUAAAGUGGGGCUGAAACAUGGAAUAUAUAUGAUUUACCAUUCUUUUAAAAAAAAUAAAUGCCAAAAUAAAUUUUGACAAAUUGGAAAACAAAAAAUUUAAAAAAAUUAAAGUCAUUUAAAAUUAUUUAUUUCACCUUAUUUUUGCAUAAAUAUAAGCUUGCAUAUAAUUUGUUUAUAUAAGC